rnacentral:lncRNA from 1 species
ACUUUUGCUGCCUGCCAAUCCAGGUAUAAAACUCUCAGCUCUUUCUCCAGUACCUUGCCUGCCUGCCUGCCUGCCUCCAGACAUGAUGAUAAUGGACUAAGCCUCUGAACUGAAAACCCUCUGUUAAGGAAUGGGCUGAGAACAGAGGCCCGAAAGAGCCACAUAGAUCAAGAUGGGAAAUGGCAGCAGAAGAUGGCUACAAACCCACUGGAAGAAACUGCUUUCUAUCUCUGCAAGGAGCAUCCUUAUAAUGAAGUGGGGACAUAAUGUUGGUGAGAGAUUGUCAGGAUGAGAAAGAAGAGGCUGGACGAUCAAGACUUUGCUUUUCUGCUUAGGCAGUAUUCUGCUAUAUCAUUUUACAAAAGGACAUUGUCAGAGAAUGGACUUCUAGCUAAUGGCAUUACACUUGUAAGUUCAACAAGGUUGAUAUUUUUCAAGUAGUCAGCUACAUGAACGUGUACGUGUUGUAUGGACCUGAGGGUCAGUAAUUAGACCUGCCUGUACUGCGUUAUGCUUCCUCUGCAUGAGUGGAAUCCCUUUGUUUAUGCCACAUGAGUGGUGUCACCUCUCCUGAUACCCUAAGUAGAGCUAUUUGUACCAUGAGGCAAUAAAGGUAACUCUUGUUCCAAUCCA